AUUGAACGCUAGCGGGAUGCCUUACACAUGCAAGUCGAACGGCAGCGCGGACUUCGGUCUGGCGGCGAGUGGCGAACGGGUGAGUAAUGUAUCGGAACGUGCCCAGUAGCGGGGGAUAACUACUCGAACGAGUCGCUAAUAACGCAUACGCCCUACGGGGGAAAGGGGGGGAUCGCAAGACCGCUCACUAUUGGAGCGGCCCAUAUUGGAUGAGCUAGUGGGUGAGGUAAAGGCUCACCAAGGCGACGAUCCGUAGCUGGUUUGAGAGGACGACCAGCCACACUGGGACUGAGACACGGCCCAGACUCCUACGGGAGGCAGCAGUGGGGAAUUUUGGACAAUGGGGGCAACCCUGAUCCAGCCAUUCCGCGUGUGCGAUGAAGGCCUUCGGGUUGUAAAGCACUUUUGGCAGGAAAGAAAUCGCACGGAUUAAUACUCUGUGUGGAUGACGGUACCUGCAGAAUAAGCACCGGCUAACUACGUGCCAGCCGCCGCGGUAA
rnacentral:rRNA from 1 species